rnacentral:rRNA from 1 species
GACGAACCGUGCGAACGUUGUUCGGAAUCACUGGGCUUAAAGGGCGCGUAGGCGGACAUUCAAGUCAGGGGUGAAAUCCUCCGGCUCAACCGGAGAACUGCCUUUGAUACUGGAUGUCUCGAGUGAGGUAGGGGCAUGCGGAACUGAUGGUGGAGCGGUGAAAUGUGUUGAUAUCAUCAGGAACUCCGGUGGCGAAAGCGGCGUGCUGGACCUCUACUGACGCUGAUGCGCGAAAGCCAGGGGAGCGAACGGG